rnacentral:rRNA from 1 species
CCUACGGGGGGCAGCAGUGGGGAAUAUUGGACAAUGGGCGCAAGCCUGAUCCAGCCAUGCCGCGUGAGUGAUGAAGGCCUUAGGGUUGUAAAGCUCUUUUGGCGGGGACGAUAAUGACGGUACCCGCAGAAUAAGUCCCGGCUAACUUCGUGCCAGCAGCCGCGGUAAUACGAAGGGGACUAGCGUUGUUCGGAAUCACUGGGCGUAAAGCGCACGUAGGCGGAAUUGUAAGUCAGGGGUGAAAUCCCGGGGCUCAACCUCGGAACUGCCUUUGAUACUGCGAUUCUCGAGUCCGAUAGAGGUGGGUGGAAUUCCUAGUGUAGAGGUGAAAUUCGUAGAUAUUAGGAAGAACACCGGUGGCGAAGGCGGCCCACUGGAUCGGUACUGACGCUGAGGUGCGAAAGCGUGGGGAGCAAACAGGAUUAGAUACCCUUGUAGUC